AAAGUCAACGCAGCAUGGCUCUCACAGCAGUCUUCUCGUGGUAACACUUCACAACAUAGAGCAAGCCUCUCCCAGGUGAAGAACAAAAACUUGUCAUUAUAGAAGCAGAAACAAAGUAUUGUGCAUACCUUGCUGCUUCCAUUACCUCAGGAAAACUCAGCUCAGAUUCUGUCUGUGGUUUUCAGCAAGAAUACUGCUUUUCCCUUCUUCCCGCACAAUUUUCCAGCCAGAUUGACUGAACUGCAGAAAGGUCAAAUGACUUACUUGGAGGGUAAGCUAUGAGUCAGGAGCACAGCUAGCACUGAAUCAAAUCCUUUCCUGUCUUCCAAUCCAGCCACUAGACAACACACAAUUGCUUUCAUUGACCAGAGAGCUCUAAAGAAGUCAGCAUUAGCUAGCAU
rnacentral:lncRNA from 1 species